rnacentral:rRNA from 1 species
UACGUAGGGGGCUAGCGUUGUCCGGAUUUAUUGGGCGUAAAGAGUGUGUAGGCGGCCAGGUAGGUCUGCUGUGAAAACUCGAGGCUCAACCUCGAGACGUCGGCGGAAACCAUCUGGCUAGAGUCCGGAAGAGGAGAGUGGAAUUCCUGGUGUAGCGGUGAAAUGCGCAGAUAUCAGGAAGAACACCCGUGGCGAAGGCGGCUCUCUGGGACGGUACUGACGCUGAGACGCGAAAGCGUGGGGAGCGAACAGG